CCCCCAUUUUGCAGCUUUGCUUUAUUAUUGUUGUUAUCUCUAUAAUGAUACCUUUAUUCUUGAUGAAAGAACCACUCUUGUACCUUUUUUUUGAGCUCCAUGCAGUUGUUGCCAUGAUGAGACUCUCCAGCAGGCGUCGGGAGUCAUCAAGUAAAGGUCGAUGAUCUCCCUCCAUCACUUUUACAGACAUAGAGAGAUGUUGGGCUGAGGUCACAAUGCACUCACUCGACUCUAUGGGUGAGG
rnacentral:lncRNA from 1 species